rnacentral:rRNA from 1 species
AUUGAACGCUGGCGGCAGGCUUAACACAUGCAAGUCGAGCGAGCGGCGGACGGGUGAGUAAUGUCUGGGAAACUGCCUGAUGGAGGGGGAUAACUACUGGAAACGGUAGCUAAUACCGCAUACCAUCGGAUGUGCCCAGAUGGGAUUAGCUAGUUGGUGGGGUAAUGGCUCACCUAGGCGACGAUCCCUAGCUGGUCUGAGAGGAUGACCAGCCACACUGGAACUGAGACACGGUCCAGACUCCUACGGGAGGCAGCAGUGGGGAAUAUUGCACAAUGGGCGCAAGCCUGAUACAGCCAUGCCGCGUGUGUGAAGAAGGCCUUCGGGUUGUAAAGCACUUUCAGUGAGGAGGCGUUACCCGCAGAAGAAGCACCGGCUAACUCCGUGCCAGCAGCCGCGGUAAUUC